GAUGGGGCCGGAUCUUAGGCCCGGGAUUCUGCAGAAUGCAAGGCUCAGAGCUUGCCUAGCUCUGAGUGGCUUGGAGACUGGUGUGAGGACUGAGGGUGUCCACAGAUCACCAACCCACACCGGCAGCCUGAGUUGGAAGACAGACCCCCCUGCAGCCCCGUCUUUGAUGGCUGCCUGGACCACCUGCAGGAGAAGCCCCUCAGAAGAUGGGUCCCUGGAACCUUUGCGCAGGUUUGCUGAACCUCAGGAGUUCACUCAGCACAUCGUUCGCUCUCAGCUGCCCCAGCAGGAGCUGCGCAGAACCGCCUUGGAGGCGUGCUCAGAGGACACUUCCUCACUUUUAUAAUGAAUCGUGAGCACUCUCUCCUCGCUUUGGCCGGCAGAGCCUGCCUUUCUGGCCACGUGGACGUCUUCAUGCAGGGUCCUGCUGGCCCCUUGACAUCAACAGGCAUGAAGCUGCAGCCAUCCUCUCCCCUCCCCAAGUUUUGGGCACCACCAUCUCCUAGUCUCUUGAGACUGGCCCCUGGCUUCUCCCGUUACCCCAGCCUCAGUCCCAUCCAAUCUGCUCCCCAUUGAGAAGUCCAAGUGGACCCUCUUCUCCGGCCUCACUGCCCCCAGCCCACUCCUUGGGCUCCAUCCCAGCCUCUUCCUUGGCGGUCCCCCAGCUACUCUCCAGUCCUACGUGCAGCUGCAUCUUCCAGAUCCACCUGGCACGGCAUCUCCUUCUGCCUCAAUGCCUGGGAUUCAGGACCUUGAUCACAGCUGGGUUUUGUAUAGAAAUAAAUAAAUAAAACUGAAAGAAAAAAACACGAAAUGUUAAUAUUGUUUAUAUGAGGUUGG
rnacentral:lncRNA from 1 species